rnacentral:rRNA from 1 species
UACGGAGGGUGCGAGCGUUAAUCGGAAUUACUGGGCGUAAAGCGCGCGUAGGCGGUUUGAUAAGUCGGGUGUGAAAUUCCCGGGCUCAACCUGGGGGCUGCGCUUGAUACUGGUGAGCUUGAAUGCGGGAGAGGAUAGUGGAAUUCCCAGUGUAGAGGUGAAAUUCGUAGAUAUUGGGAAGAACACCGGUGGCGAAGGCGGCUAUCUGGCCCGUAAUUGACGCUGAGGCGCGAAAGCGUGGGGAGCAAACAGG